rnacentral:rRNA from 1 species
AGCGAACGCUGGCGGCAGGCUUAACACAUGCAAGUCGAGCGGGCACUUUCGGGUGUCAGCGGCGGACGGGUGAGUAACGCGUGGGAACGUGCCCUCUGGUUCGGAAUAACUCAGGGAAACUUGAGCUAAUACCGGAUACGCCCUUUUGGGGAAAGGCUUGCUGCCGGAGGAUCGGCCCGCGUCUGAUUAGCUAGUUGGUGAGGUAACGGCUCACCAAGGCGACGAUCAGUAGCUGGUCUGAGAGGACGAUCAGCCACACUGGGACUGAGACACGGCCCAGACUCCUACGGGAGGCAGCAGUGGGGAAUAUUGGACAAUGGGCGCAAGCCUGAUCCAGCCAUGCCGCGUGAGUGAUCAAGGCCUUAGGGUUGUAAAGCUCUUUUAUCCGGGACGAUAAUGACGGUACCGGAGGAAUAAGCCCCGGCUAACUUCGUG